rnacentral:lncRNA from 1 species
GGCUGAUGCAGAAGGAUGGAAACUUACACUGGCAGGAAGAAAGUGGAACACUGGCAUGGAACAGAUUGCAUUGGGACAAAGACUGGUUCCACGCCUUGGACCCUGAGAGCUCCUUUUAGAAACAAAUAAGCUGGAAUUCAGAUAUGAAAACUAGUCUCUUGCAGGGAAGCUGAGACUCUGAAUUGAAGAGGUGUGUCCAAAGCAACACUCACUAGGUGUAAUGCUCAGAAAGGCCACAGGUCACUCCUGUGAUCAACAGACCCUUAAACUGAAGCUACCUAUCCAUCACCUGGAAUCUGCUGAUGGAAACAUGCUGAAAUUGAUCUGGAAGGAAGGAAAAAUACCAUCACAGCCUGCUUGCCAAGUAACAGCCCAGAGACAUCCUUUAGUCUGGCUCAUAACAACUCAGGAUCUUGAAUUUACCAUUCCACUUAGCAAGACAUUUUCUUUCUUGAAUAAGCUCAUUGGCCUUGAGAACUUGUUUAACAUGUUCUAAAUCAAUAUGCAAUAUUCCUAGAGAAAAUAAAGAAAGCUCUGCUUUAGGAAGAGUCAGUUCUCUGAGAUCUGACCAACGAAUUCUUCCUAAUCUGGGCUCUGAGGAGGAAGGUUCCCAGUUUUCAAAUUUGAGAAAAAAAUAGUGAAAAGAAGUGGGGAGCACAGCCUCACAUGGAAUGAAAUGACCCGUGGUUGUAACUAACCAUUUCCCAAAGAUGACCAAGACUUUGUGUGCGUGUCCCCCCCUCUCUCUUUAAAUUUAGCAGAUGUUUCAGAUGCCAGGCAUCUCUCCAGGCAUCAGUAAUUCUAAAAUUUGCCCAAGUUACUCAAAG